rnacentral:lncRNA from 1 species
AAACACAGAUUCAUACCUAAUCAAAAUAUAUAAACCCAGAAACAUAGUUGUACAUAAUCGUACCAGUUGUACCUAAACACAGAUUUAUACAUCAACAUCACACACCAGAAUUUUAGUCUGGGUACAACUAAGUACCACAUGUAGACGAAAAUAACAACUAGAUUAUAUUCACUAUUUUUUUUUUUUUCAAAACCCUUACAAACCCACAUAUUUGUCAGUUUUUUUGAUUAAUAUAGAAUUUUUAUUUUUUUUUUGGUUCAAAACCCUUAGAUUAUAUUCAAUACAUAAAAAUAUUAAGAUUCAGAUUAAAAGAUUCAUACAUAAUUAGAUUCAGAUACAAAGAUUCAUACCUAAUCAAAAUACAUAAACCCAGAAACAUAGUUGUACCUAAUCGUACCAGUUGUACAUAAACACAGAUUCAUACCUAAUCAAAAUACAUAAACCCAGAAACAUAGUUGUAUCUAAUCGUAUCAGUUGUACCUAAACACAGAUUUAUACAUCAACAUCACACACCAAAAUACAAGCGAUACUCAUCAUCAGAGAUCAAAAUAGGAGCCGAACUCAUCUCUUGCUCCAUCUCCUUCUCCUUCUUCUCAUGCUCCUGCUCCUUCUCCUUCUUCUUCUUCUCCUUCUCCUUCUUCAGAGAGUGACAACGAAUCUCUAGCAAAUUAUUUUUUGGGUUUUGUGAAUUGUGAAGUAGGAAUGUUUUUCCAAGAACGCUAAAUCGAAAACCCUUGCAAAGUGAAUUUUAGAGGAGUAGCGAGAGGCGAGAGAUGAAAACGGCGGUUCGUCGUUUGGUUUUAGAGAAAAGGGGAAAAAAAUUUAGGGUUAGGGAUUUGAUUUUGGAAUUUUCG